rnacentral:rRNA from 1 species
GACGAACGCUGGCGGCGUGCCUAAUACAUGCAAGUAGGACGCAGUUGCGAACGGGUGAGUAACGCGUAGGUAACUGCCUAUUAGAGGGGGAUAACUAUUGGAAACGAUAGCUAAUACCGCAUACUAGUAGAUGGACCUGCGUUGUAUUAGCUAGUAGGUAGGGUAAUGGCCUACCUAGGCGACGAUACAUAGCCGGGCCGGGAGGGGUGUCGGGCACACUGGGACUGAGACCCGGCCCAGACUCCUACGGGAGGCAGCAGUAGGGAAUCUUCGGCAAUGGGGGGAACCCUGAACGAGCAACGCCGCGGGAGUGAAGAAGGUUUUCGGAUCGUAAAGCUCUGUUGGUAAGGAAGCGGUACUUAACCAGAAAGGGACGGCUAACUACGUGCCAGCAGCCGCGGUAAUUC